rfam:Enterococcus sp. 7F3_DIV0205 scaffold00001, whole genome shotgun sequence.
AAUGAUUCGUCGAUAAAGAGAGUACUUCAUUACAAAUUAUUCAAGCGAUUUCGGGUAGGUGGAAGCCGAAAAUGAUUAAAUGAAGGAAGCGCACUUUUAAGAAUCUGCGUAGGCAGACGGCUAUCUACCGUUAAUAGAUUAAGUGGGUCCGUCAUUUAAAAAGAACGGACAAUUAGAGUGGUACCGCGGGGAAAUCUCGUCUCUGGU